CGCGUAGGCGGUCUUGUCAGUCAGAUGUGAAAGCCCGGGGCUCAACCCCGGACGUGCAUUUGAAACAGCAAGACUUGAGUACGGGAGAGGAAAGCGGAAUUCCUGGUGUAGAGGUGAAAUUCGUAGAUAUCAGGAGGAACACCGAUGGCGAAGGCAGCUUUCUGGACCGAUACUGACGCUGAGGCGCGAAGGCGUGGGUAGCGAACAGGAUUAGAUACCCUGGUAGUCC
rnacentral:rRNA from 1 species